rnacentral:piRNA from 1 species
UGACUUACCGGUCUGAAGACCUCAAGACCC